rnacentral:lncRNA from 1 species
GCACUCAAUUCCUGGUCAGACUGGAUUCUGCGACGAGUAAAAAACCCGCUCGAGGUCCACUGAAAACAGGAAUGUAUUAUGGGAAGUUGCCAAAACUGCAAAUGUGGGUUUGUUUUUGGGACCUUCAUAUUUGUGUGUUUCUGUGCGUGUGCACGAUGCCGUGGGAUCAGGUUCUGCCGCUGGUUGAAACCUGUACGAAUCCGAUGCUUGUCGGCAGCGCUCAUGGCAUUUGCUUGAUUUGUAGUCCCGAUUUGUCGUGCGUGUGAGAUGGAGCUAAAAAAAAUUCUUCUGUUUUUUACCAAUAACUUGAUCUUGCUUCUGGUUGAAGUUGUGAUAUGGAUUUGAUGUGGUUGACAGUUGAGAAAGCCAGAUUGUGAAGGUGUCCAAAUUCUCACUGCUCAUGGCAUUUGAUUGACCUACUCCCCCCGUCCCAUAAUAUAAGAACGUUUUUGACACUAGUGUAGUAUCAAAAACACUCUUAUAAUAUGGGACGGAGGGAGUAGAAAACUGAGCUACAGGAUUGUGUUUAGAAGCCGUAUCUAGUGUUCGUUAUUUUUGGUGUUACUCACCAAACGUUGAAGUACGAUAGCAUUGCAAGUCUAAACAAGCAAAUCAGAGUGGCGCAGCGGAAGCGUGGUGGGCCCAUAACCCACAGGUCCCAGGAUUGAAACCUGGCUCUGAUAAUUGAUUUUUGAGGGAAGGCUCUGAUAGAUUGCUGUUCUAUUUUUGUGAUUUUUCCUAUUGGGCCCGGUUCAAUAUGACUGGGCUUUUAUUUUCCAGGGCUGAUAAUGAGCAGUGGCGCGCAUGGCCCUGUACGACGUGGCUCCUCUUCCUAACGUCACCCGAAAUUCUUUUCUUGUCCUCAUAUUUACUUUAUUUACAUUUUAAACUAAAUGCAUACCCCUAUUUUUUGUAAAAUUUAAAUGCAUAUAUUUCAAGAAUAUAAAUUUACUCAUUGAAUUUAAAAUCACGAGUUUGAAAAAAAAACGUUAACACAGUAUAAAAAUCUGUUACGCAGUUUAAAAAAAAUGAUGACAACUUUCAAAAAAAUGUUACUGAUGAUGAAAAAUAUUCCUGCGUUUCAAGACAAUGCAUGUAAUUAAACCCGCAUGGAAGCCGAGAAACCUACUGAUGUAAAAUAUUCGUAAACAUAUUAAAAUUUGCGAAUGUUUUAAAAAAAUUAUGAAUAUUUAAUAAAACCCGAGGGUACAAAUAAUCUGGCUGAUGUAAAAAUAUCGGCUGAAAAUUAAAAGCUGUCUGUAAAUCACUGUACCGUACACCAAAAUGGAUUGGACCGUAUGGAUCGUUCUCCUUCCGAACAGAGCAACAGAAAUGAAAAAUAUCGGUUGAGAAAUAAAAACCGUUUGUAAACCAUCAUACUGUACAACAAAACUGAUCGGACCGACAAACCAACAUGUGGUAGGAUGGUUAGGAGGACAGUGGUAUCCAUAGCCCACCAGAGUAUAAGUCCUAAAAUUGACAUUGGUGCUCGCAUUUUUCUGGAUUUAUUUCAGUUUUCCGGCGACGUUCGUUCAAUGGGAGGAGACGUACUCGUUGAGUACGAGGCGCCUAUGAUGGCUUCAGAAAAUCUCAAGAUGCUAUGUCAGCUCAGCCUCUCGGAGGUACUCAUAGGGGUAUGGUGUGUAUGAGUUUUUUUAAUAGCAAAGAUAGCUAGGCUUUUAUUAAUUGGUAAAGAUGUUUACAGGAAAAGCUAUUAGGUCACUUGACGUGCCCAACCAAAGAUGCCGCCCUAGGGAAGAGAGACACCUGACCUAACUAGCCUAUGAGCUUCAAAAUUAGAAGCUUGAGGUUCAAAUGAAAAAUUAUAAUAAUUAAGCAUUCUAACAGUUUGCAAAAUCUCUUUGAGAACACUCCCAUAGUUUCCUCCAACUCCUUGGUGAAUAUGAUUAUUGACCUGUUUGCAAUCUGAUGCGAUCUGAAGAUGAUGCAUGCCCAAGUCUCGUGGCAACGAUAAAGCCUCUCGGCAUGCUAAAGCUUCUAGGAGUAGCAGGAUUAGAAAUGCCAUGAAUCACUAGCACCGAAGACCCAGUAUAGGAACCAUCUCGGUCUCGACAAAAGAUGGUCUUGACAAAUUGCUGCUGCUGUGCCUACAUUGUGCUCCACUGAUAAUCCCGCAUCAACAUUAAUUUUUAUUUGUCCUGCAGCAGACAGGAUCCAGCGGUGUUGCCCAUUAUUGCAUGUAGUCCGAAUCAUACCAGGUGCUUCUCGUGUUCCCAAAAGUCGAUCCAACUCUGAGAUAAAGCUUGAAACAAAUCUAUGUGUUUCAUAGGGACUCUAAUUAAUCCCUUCAUGUGCUUUCGAACGUCCUCUAUCGGCAACGAAUUCUUUGACAAUCACCAUAAGAAAACUUUUAUCUGCAUAAGUAGAGAGUGUAUGAGUGCGUUUAUAGGAAUGAAUGUAUACUCGUGCAUGUGGGAAGUUGCCAAAACUGCAAAUGUGGGUUUGUUUUUGGGACCUUCAUAUUUGUGUGUUUCUGUGCGUGUGCACGAUGCCGUGGGAGCAGGUUCUGCCGCUGGUUGAAACCUGUACGAAUCCGAUGCUUUUCGGCAGCGCUCAUGGCAUUUUGCUUGAUUUGUAGUCCCGAUUUGUUGUGCGUGUGAAAUGGAGCUAAAAAAAUUUCUUCUGUUUUUACUAAUAACUUGAUCUUGCUUCUGGUUGAAGUUGUGACAUGGAUUUGAUGUGGCUGACAGUUGAGAAAGCCAGAUUGUGAAGGUG